GCCAGGCGUGGUGGCGGGCGCCUGUAGUCCCAGCUACUCGGGAGGCUGAGGCAGGAGAAUCGCUUGAACCCAGGAGGCGGAGCUUGCAGUGAGCCGAGAUCAUCCAGCCUGGGUGACAGAGCGAGACUCUGCCUCAA
rnacentral:SRP_RNA from 2 species